GAUGAAGAACGCAGCGAAAUGCGAUACUUGGUGUGAAUUGCAGAAUCCCGUGAACCAUCGAGUCUUUGAACGCAAGUUGCGCCCGAAGCCAUUAGGCCGAGGGCACGCCUGCCUGGGCGUCACACGUCGUUGCCCCCCCAUCUACUCCUUCGGGAUUGCGGGGGGCGGAUGAUGGCCUCCCGUGCGCCUCGCCGCGCGGUUGGCAUAAAUGCCAAGUCCUCGGCGACGCACGCCACGACAAUCGGUGGUUGCGAAACCUCGGUUGCCCGUCGUGUGCGGUCGUCGCGCAUCGAGGGCUCGAAAAAAUUGCCGGGUUCCGGCUCGGCUUUCAACGCGACCCCAGGUCAGGCGGGGUUACCCGCUGAAUUUAAGCAUAUCAAUAAGGGAGGA
rnacentral:misc_RNA from 1 species